rnacentral:tRNA from 1 species
GGGAAUAUAGCUUAACUGGAAAAGCGGCGGUGUAAUCCCUCAAUACGCCAAUGCAUUCCCGGUUCGAAUCCGGGUAUUCCCU